rfam:Schistosoma rodhaini strain Burundi genome assembly, scaffold: SROB_scaffold0013372
AUCCAAUUGACGAGCCCCAAAUAGGACGAAACGCGCGUUCUGGAU